UCCCGCAGCCGCUGUCCACCAGGAUGCCGCCGUUUCCCACAACGGCGCACGUGUCGAACGUCUCGUUGGAGAAUGGAUGCUCCUGGGAAGAGUCAAGAGCUAUAGAAUAGCUGCAAAUUCCAAAGUUAGUUAGCGGUGUGUCAUGCCUUGAUGAAUGUUUUGAAGAUUUGCGGCGUCACUCGUAGCGUCUUGGACGUUUCGGCAUCGUAGACGAUAGUGGUUCCCACGGGUGUGUUGGCCUGGGUGAUGAUGGCUUUCUCGAACCCUCGACACGAGCUGCUCAGCUUGGACCUGACGGGACGAGCAAACAUUGAAGUAACUACUAAUAAUAUUUGCAGGAACACUUUGACCUACUACGCUACUGUAUUUGAACAUGGCUCAUUCUGGUUGUACUCUGUAUUUUCUUAGCUGGCUCAGUGAGCGUCAGUCACAUGAUCAUAGCGUGACGCUACGACGCACGCACGCUUUUACAUACGUUUGUCAGCUUGUCUUACGUGAAAUUCCGGUAGCUCUCCUCGUUCUUCUCCCACGUUUGAGAAUAACGCUUCAACACGUCGUCAAUGAGUUUCCUGCGAGGACACGCAAGUAGAGACACAAAUACAACAAAUCCUUAUUUAAUUGACAUCUGAUUUUAAUUUGGGAAAACAAUUAUCAACAAUCACAAUGAAUUCAUGCCUGUGCAUCUUCUUCACUGUCAAUUUAAAAGGUGAAUGAAUGACAAAGAGGCAACUUGACUCACCUGCAGCCUUUACAAAGCACACUCGGGGAACUUUUCUUCUGAGCGGGAGAACUUGACGCAGCCUUCAGACAAACCUAUGAUCGUCGACCAUGUACCAAGUGAUGCUGGACAACAGGCUGGCUAAACAUAGCAGAGUUAUUGCAGACGAGCCACCCCAAGAAGCCAUCAUCAACAAAGGAGAGGAGGAACGUCUUUCCUUUGACAUCAUGGAGAAGUACUCUGUGGAAUGGAGUGACAGAGAAAGAAAGGAGGCCUUCUCAAAGCAUCAUUCCCCCACCCCUUCCUUCCUCCAUCAUCAUGCGUGUGCUUGUGAGACAGAAGAGGAAGUUUCUGCGGUGUC